rnacentral:rRNA from 1 species
UGGGGAAUAUUGGACAAUGGGCGAAAGCCUGAUCCAGCAAUGCCGCGUGAGUGAUGAAGGCCUUAGGGUUGUAAAGCUCUUUUACCCGGGAUGAUAAUGACAGUACCGGGAGAAUAAGCUCCGGCUAACUUCGUGCCAGCAGCCGCGGUAAUACGAGGGGAGCUAGCGUUGUUCGGAAUUACUGGGCGUAAAGCGCACGUAGGCGGCUUUGUAAGUAAGGGGUGAAAGCCCAGAGCUCAACUCUGGAAUUGCCUUUUAGACUGCAUCGCUUGAAUCCAGGAGAGGUGAGUGGAAUUCCGAGUGUAGAGGUGAAAUUCGUAGAUAUUCGGAAGAACACCAGUGGCGAAGGCGGCUCACUGGACUGGUAUUGACGCUGAGGUGCGAAAGCGUGGGGAGCAAAACAGGAUUAGAUACCCUGGUAGUCCACGCCGUAAACGAUGAUAACUAGCUGUCUGGGUGCUUGGCACUUAGGUGGCGCAGCUAACGCAUUAAGUUAUCCGCCUGGGGGAGUACGGUCGCAAGAUUAAAACUGCAAAUGAAUUGACGGGGUC